UAAGAUCAAAAUAUUUUUAAUCUAAAUUAUGCAUGCAUGAAAAUAUAAAACUACAUGGAUCUAUCUCAUAUGCUACAAUUGAUAUAUGUUGAUAUUUAGAUUGUGAUCAAAGCACAUACCUAUUUCGUAAUUCUUUUCUUCAAAUCUGGAUCUGGAAGAGAAGAGGUUCUCUCUUAGCUACACAAAUAUUUGCAAGUAUCCACUCAAGAUCAGUCUGAAACAGCUCUCUUUAAUCUGAAUUUUUGUUCUCCAAAAUUUAGCUUGCUGAAUUUGAAUGAAGCCUGGAUCGCAAUCAACGCUUGAUCACUUUCCUUGAUCUUCU
rnacentral:lncRNA from 1 species